UACGUAGGGUGCAAGCGUUAAUCGGAAUUACUGGGCGUAAAGCGUGCGCAGGCGGUGAUGUAAGACAGGUGUGAAAUCCCCGGGCUUAACCUGGGAACUGCGUUUGAAACUACAAGGCUAGAGUGUGGCAGAGGGGGGGUGGAAUUCCACGUGUAGCAGUGAAAUGCGUAGAGAUGUGGAGGAACACCGAUGGCGAAGGCAGCCCCCUGGGUUAACACUGACGCUCAGGCACGAAAGCGUGGGGAGCAAACAGG
rnacentral:rRNA from 1 species